rnacentral:rRNA from 1 species
CCUACGUGGGGCUGCAGUGGGGAAUAUUGGACAAUGGGGGGAACCCUGAUCCAGCCAUGCCGCGUGUGUGAAGAAGGCCCUCGGGUUGUAAAGCACUUUCAGUGAGGAAGAACGCCUGGUGGUUAAUACCCAUCAGGAAAGACAUCACUCACAGAAGAAGCACCGGCUAACUCCGUGCCAGCAGCCGCGGUAAUACGGAGGGUGCGAGCGUUAAUCGGAAUUACUGGGCGUAAAGCGCGCGUAGGUGGCUUGAUAAGCCGGUUGUGAAAGCCCCGGGCUCAACCUGGGAACGGCAUCCGGAACUGUCAAGCUAGAGUGCAGGAGAGGAAGGUAGAAUUCCCGGUGUAGCGGUGAAAUGCGUAGAGAUCGGGAGGAAUACCAGUGGCGAAGGCGGCCUUCUGGACUGACACUGACACUGAGGUGCGAAAGCGUGGGUAGCAAACAGGAUUAGAUACCCCAGUAGUC